rnacentral:lncRNA from 1 species
GUUGGGAUAGAAGUAGGACUAAUAGCCCAUGUCUGAUAUGUUACUAGUUGUCAUUUUAUUUACUCUUUUGUGUGUUUUUUCCCUUUAUAUUUUCAUAGAUUGCUAGCCAGUGCAAUCCUGACUCUUAUUUUGAAGAUGCCAGCCCUCCUAACAAAUCCUGCUGACUGAAGAAAGACUGUUCCUAAUUUUCAGAGGAGUCAUUAUCUCCUGUGUAUAUAGGAACAUUGUUGUACCCUGGACAGUAAAAGUGACUUCAUCACCGUUGGUCAUUGUACCCCACACAAAAAUCAUCAGCCUCUGUAAGAAGAACCUCCAUGAGGUCCAGGUGGGGAACAGGACUCUAGCAGUCUCUAAUCUUGACCACCAUCACCUCAACCAGCAAGGACUUACACAGGUGGGUUUCGUUUCACUUUUGUCUCUUUGCCAGGGAACGUCCCUUUG